AUCCUCACAAAUGCAGUGAUGUUACAUAGAUAUAAACUUCAUAAAUAUUCAGAACUAUACUCUUAGAAGUACAUGCAUACUUAUUAAAAGUAAAUGAAAACCAAAUGGGUUACAAACACAAAAUCCAGGGUAGCAGUUGGGAGAGAAGCAGGCAUCUAUGAUUGGGAAGGGAACACUGGGGACUUGAGAGUUCUUAAUAUAGGUGGUAACACCCUUUCAAUGGCUGUUUUAUGUGUUAGCUUUACUGGGCCAUGGGAUGGCCAGAUAGCUGGUUAAACAUUAUUCUUGGGAGUGUGGAGAGACUAUUGGAAGAGAUUAGCAUUCAAACUGGUGGACUGAGUAAAGCAAAUAGUCCUCCCCAAUGGGAAUAGGCAUUACUCAAUCUAUUGACAGCCUGAAUAGAACAAAAAGGUAGAAGAAGUUUUAAUUUGCUCUUGGCCUGACUGCUUAAACUGGAACAUACAUCUUCUUAUGAACAAGGAGCUCCUGGUUCUCAAGCCUUUAGACCUGGACUGGAAUCUACACCACUGGCUCUCUGGCCUUCUAACUGCACCACCAGAUUACCUGAGUCUCCAGCUUGCAGAUGAUAAACCACAAAUUCAUCUUCUUCCAUGCUUUGUGAUAAAAGAAUUGGGCCCUGAAACUUUCUUCUUUGCCACCCAGCAAGAUGUUCAUCCUUGUCAAUAGAGGAUGCUGAAGGGAGACUUGGGGAGAAAGGAGUUUUCUUUUUUUGGUUCAGGCGUGGCUCUCUUGCCAGACUCCAGCAGAGAGUGUUUUCUCUAUUGCUUGGCCCACAGUUUCUCCCGUGCUCAGUUCCUAAGGAAUGCUCCUUUCUCCAGUAUUUGGCUGCAGUGCAAUCCUUCCAGCUCUCUACUCAAGCAGUGGUGGUAUACCUGGGAGCCCAAGAGCAUGCAGGCUGGUGCCCCAGCCCAGGUCACUGUUCCAAACCUCAGGAACGUACAUGCCCAGGACUGCAUAAGGCUGGGCAUCUAGCAAGCUGGCCACCUGACUUUUAUCCCUGCAAAUGUCCUAGAGAUACUCUGGUCCAAUCCAAGCACAAAAGUGAACUAAACGCUGCAGAAGAAAGCCCCUCCAGCACCCAGUUCCACAAGUGCUCAGCAGCCCACAGCUUCCCUCAGCACCUAGAAAGUUCUGAGGCUCCAAAAUUUCCUGCAGUCAGCCUUCUCCAACAUCCCCGAGGAAGACUUCAGGCACGUUCUCCUAGCCCAACACUGCUGGGACUUCUCUGCCAGAGUCUGGCGGAUAAUGUGCUCCACCUGACCAACAAAAGGAAAAUAGCGUAUUCAAGAAGCAAGAAAUUCAACAAAGGAGUGAAUUAGAGGGAAUUCACAUCCUGCCUCCAGUUUCCCAGAUAUGAAGGACUGUGAGACUAAAUAAAUCAUUAUAUAUUCCACAAGCAAUUCUCCUGCGACAGCCUUUCAAAAAAGAAUUAGGAAGCCUGAAUAUUAAAUGCCAGCAACCCAUGACUAGGAUAAGGUCAGUUUCAAGGAUAAAGACAUUUUUGAAUUGAGCAGUUUGUCACACUUACGUAAAAACAAUUUGAACAAUAAGCCUUUGUUAUUGUAUGUCUAAUUUAUGAAGAAAGCCAUUACCCUCAGUAACUUCACUUACAAAAAGGGAAAGUAUACGCAUCCUCUCUCUCCCCUUCUAUCCUUCUAUCUCUCUCUCUCUCUCUCUCUCUCUCUCACACACACACACACACACACACACACACACAUAUACACUGAUCACAAAAUUGAAUGUCAGUG
rnacentral:lncRNA from 1 species